CGAUAGCGAGUUAUGAAUGAGCAAAGAUGGUAGAAUAUUCUUCAGGAAGGCUCUUGCAGGCUCUCAUUUGGCCAUCUGUGGAAACUAAGUUCUAGCCACAAGCAGCUGAUGUCAUUCAGUGUCAAGGACAGAUCUCUGGUGUAAAAGUAAGCCAUUUCUACCUAACUCCCCUUGCUUCUUAGAUGAAGAUUGACAAAUAUAAGACAAUCAGCACCAGCACGUGGAGGGCAGCCCGGAGCAGUCCUCUAACAAGCCCCAACAGGAGCUGCUCCUUUUCCCUUCACCUUUGCUCCAGGAGGCCGAUAGCGGGCUUGAGCCUUAAAAAGCUAAUUUUCCCAGCUUGUUAUAACCUAAUCAGUGACGGGCAAAGUGGCAAUCCUUCAGUUCCACUUCCUAGAGGAAUUGCUUCCUUAAAGGGUCAACCAGGGUCCCCUUACUUUGUGAGAUAGACGUCUUCUUACCUGCGGCAUCUUGAAUCUUUGGAGUUCUCUUACCUAAUUUCCUCAAAGUGAAAAGCAGACAGUACAGGUGCUUUACAUUGCUUAGACUGGCAUUUA
rnacentral:lncRNA from 1 species